CGCAGCCGCGGUAAUCCCAGCUCCAAUAGCGUAUAUUAAAGUUGUUGCAGUUAAAAAGCUCGUAGUUGAAUUUCGGGAUCAAUUGAUUGGUCAUGCCUUGGUAUGUACUGGUCAUAUUGGUUCUCACCUUCUAAUGAACCAUAAUGUCAUUUAAUUGAUGUUAUGGGGAAUUAGGACUGUUACCUUGAAAAGAUUAGAGUGUUUAAAGCAGGCUUACGCUUGAAUACAUUAGCAUGGAAUAAUGAAAUAGGACAUCGUAUUCUAUUUUGUUGGUUUCUAGGAUCGAUGUAAUGAUUAAUAGGGAUAGUUGGGGGCAUUAGUAUUCAAUUGUCAGAGGUGAAAUUCUUGGAUUUAUUGAAGACUAACUACUGCGAAAGCAUUUGCCAAGGAUGUUUUCAUUAAUCAAGAACGAAAGUUAGGGGAUCGAAGACGAUCAGAUACCGUCGUAGUCUUAACCAUAAACUAUGCCGACUAGGGAUCGGAUGAUGUAAUUUUUAAAUGACUCAUUC
rnacentral:sRNA from 1 species